UACGGAGGAUGCAAGCGUUAUCCGGAAUGAUUGGGCGUAAAGGGUCCGCAGGUGGCAGUGUAAGUCUGCUGUCAAAGAAUGAGGCUUAACCUCAUCAAGGCAGUGGAAACUACACAGCUAGAGUACGGUCGGGGUAGAAGGAAUUCCUGGUGUAGCGGUGAAAUGCGCAGAUAUCAGGAGGAACACCGGUGGCGAAGGCGGGUCUCUGGGCCGAUACUGACGCUGAGGAGCGAAAGCGUGGGGAGCGAACAGG
rnacentral:rRNA from 1 species